rnacentral:rRNA from 1 species
CUACGGGUCGCUGCAGUGGGGAAUAUUGGACAAUGGGGGAAACCCUGAUCCAGCAAUGCCGCGUGUGUGAAGAAGGCCUGCGGGUUGUAAAGCACUUUCGGUUGGGAGGACUGCUUCUAGCACUAAUAUUGUUGGAAGUUGACGUUACCUUCAGAAGAAGCACCGGCUAACUCCGUGCCAGCAGCCGCGGUAAUACGGAGGGUGCAAGCGUUAAUCGGAAUUACUGGGCGUAAAGCGCGCGUAGGCGGCUAGAUCAGUCGGGUGUGAAAGCCCCGGGCUUAACCUGGGAACUGCAUCCGAUAGUGUCUAGCUUGAGUACAGGAGAGGAGAGUGGAAUUCCACAUGUAGCGGUGAAAUGCGUAGAUAUGUGGAGGAACACCAAUGGCGAAGGCAGCUCUCUGGCCUGAUACUGACGCUGAGGUGCGAAAGUGUGGGGAGCAAACAGGAUUAGAUACCCGAGUAGUC